rnacentral:snRNA from 1 species
AAAUUGAAUACCCUUUAUGUGUCACACCUUACUUGAGUAAUAAGAAUUCAGGACGAUCUUUGCCAAUAGAGGAGGACCGUUCUUCAGUCAAGGGUAUAUGAGUAGCUGCGCACCCCUGCUAGAACCUCCAAAAAAGUUCUCAAGAAUUCAAAGAUGAAUCAAAGCUAUUACCCUUGAAAAAUUUAAAGAUGGGCUGGGGAAAGGCAUGUGCAAAAUGAAAACACAUAUUU